rnacentral:rRNA from 1 species
AACGUCCCAGUUCGGAUUGUAGUCUGCAACCCGACUACAUGAAGCCGGAAUCGCUAGUAAUCGCGGAUCAGAAUGCCGCGGUGAAUACGUUCCCGGGUCUUGUACACACCGCCCGUCACACCAUGGGAGUUGGAAAUGCCCGAAGUCAGUGGCCCAACCGGAAGGGGGGAGCUGCCGAAGGCAGGUUCGAUGACUGGGGUGAAGUCGUAACAAGGUAAC